rnacentral:rRNA from 1 species
UUCCGGUUGAUCCCGCCGGACCUGACUGCUAUCGGAUUGAUACUAAGCCAUGUGAGUCUUUGCAGUAAUGCAAGGCGGACGGCUCAGUAACACGUAGUCAAUCUAACCUAUGGACAGGGAUAAUCUCGGGAAACUGAGCAUAAUACCUGAUAGAUCAUUAUGCCUGGAACGGUUAAUGGUUGAAAUGAAUUUCGCCAUAGGAUGGGACUGCGGCCUAUCAGCUUGUUGGUGAGGUAAUGGCCCACCAAGGCUAUUACAGGUACGGGCUCUGAGAGGAGAAGCCCGGAGAUGGGUACUGAGACACGGACCCAGGUCCUAUGGGGCGCAGCAGGCGAGAAAACUUUGCAAUGUGCGAAAGCACGACAAGGUUAAUCCGAGUGUUUCCUGCUAAAGGAAUCUUUUGUUAGUCGUAAAACCACUAUUGAAUAAGGGGUGGGCAAGUUCUGGUGUCAGCCGCCGCGGUAAAACCAGCACCUCAAGUGGUCAGGAGGUUUAUUGGGCCUAAAGCAUCCGUAGCCUGAUCUAUAAGUUUCCGGUUAAAUCCAAAUGCUCAACAUUUGGGCUGCCGGAAAAACUGUAGAUCUAGGGAGUGGGAGAGGUAGACGGUACUCGGUAGGAAGGGGUAAAAUCCUUUGAUCUAUUGAUGACCACCAGUGGCGAAGGCGGUCUACCAGAACACGUUCGACGGUGAGGGAUGAAAGCUGGGGGAGCAAACCGGAUUAGAUACCCGGGUAGUCCCAGCUGUAAACGAUGCAGACUCGGUGAUGCAUUGGCUUGUGGCCAGUGCAGUGCCGCAGGGAAGCCGUUAAGUUUGCCGCCUGGGAAGUACGUACGCAAGUAUGAAACUUAAAGGAAUUGGCGGGGGAGCACCACACGGGUGAAGCCUGCGGUUCAAUUGGAUUCAACGCGGGA